UACGAGGGGGGCUAGCGUUGUUCGGAGUUACUGGGCGUAAAGGGCGCGCAGGCGGCUAUCCAAGUCAGUGGUGAAAGCCCGGAGCUUAACUCCGGAACUGCCAUUGAAACUGUUUAGCUUGAGGACGAGAGAGGUGAGUGGAAUUCCCAGUGUAGAGGUGAAAUUCGUAGAUAUUGGGAAGAACACCGGUGGCGAAGGCGGCUCACUGGCUCGUUUCUGACGCUCAGGCGCGACAGCGUGGGGAUCAAACAGG
rnacentral:rRNA from 1 species